GCUGGAGUUAGUGGGUGGGGACUACCCCUGGGUUGAUGGUCACUGAGGCCACAUAAUGGUUGUCUGCUUUUCUGUAUGUCCAAAAUUCUCCAUAAAGUAGAGGUUUUGAAAAUUCCUUAAAGAACCGGCAAGAAUUGAAUAGAGAACGUGGGUUUGUGAAUCGGUCCUGUGCGGAAAAUUGGCUGCUAUGUGAAAAGUAUGUGGAAAACAUCUUCCACCAAGCACUAGGCCGGGACUCAGAGCUCCUCGAGAUGCCCACAUUUGGAGUGCAAGAAAUGCUCACCUCAACCUCACACGCACCCGGGGGAGGUGAGGGCAGCUGUACAAAGGAAGGUGACUCAGGGCUAUGUCUGCACCUGCCUUCCUAAACCCAGGUUUCGCUCUCAGAAUUUUGACAAUUCCGGUUGUCGGUAUAGGAGAAUUUCUCCACAUCUUAGUUCUCCAAACGGAGAACAAAACGACCCACUCAAAGUUUUCUAAUGUUGCGCUAUUGUCAAGAAAAUAUAAACGUUGUGAAAAUCUCGAUUAUGACACCAGAGGGAUUUAGCGGAGACCACACAUCACCUUGGAUGGAGGAAUGAGAGAUGCCUGCCUUCACCCGAUGAACAGAAACAUCGAGACAUGGACUUAACAUUGGAAUGCGUGUCUCUGUCUCACACAAAAAGCACAUCGAAACACUGAUUUUGACUUCGUGCCUACGUAGGUGUGUUCGUGAAGCCUGCACCCUCGACAGCUGGUGCUGAGAUCGAGCUGCUGCGGUGCCUCCCGAACUCGCGCCGCCGCAGGGCCUUCUGGGAGGUGUAGUACGAGACCCCGGGUGUCCACCACUGCCACCUGGUGGGCGAAGCUGGAGUACCUACAAUUCCCUAUAACUUAGAACUCUUCCCGAGGCUUCCCAGACUCUCAGGAGCCGCCGACUGCGCGCUUCUGGAGAUCAGGAGCCUGGACAACGGUAGCUUCUGGAAAUUAUAGUGAGAGAAACCCGUUUCACUGCAGCCGAGGCCUGGCCCGUGAGCCUGGACUACAAGUCCAGGGAGGGCCCGAGCCGCAGCCCAGGCCCGGUCGUGCACGUCCAUUGGGUGGAUACUGCACCGCCGCGCCUUCUGGGAAACGUAGUCUGACUCUCUGGGCUCUCGGUUGUACUGACUGCUGGACAGAGCUGGGCUCCGGCCGUAAGACUACAACUCCCAGAAUACACAUGCGGCGGCGUUCCGACGCUCCGGAGUCCUCGGCCUCAGCGCGGGGCUUUCUUGUCCUGCUAGUUCCGCUUUGCGCCCUACGCCGCCGUCGGGCGGUGAGGCUGUGGUGGGCGCUGGUACCCGGUGUGCUCCGCUGUGUGUGGCCGUCCCGGGCGGUCUGGUCAGAGCCCCAGUCCCGGUCUGGCUCCAGGUCUACGGACGGGCCGUCUCGGCGUGUCCGCCUGGACUCCUUCCCGCCACAGGGGGGGCGGUGCCGGCUCGUCCGCUUCGGGGCUGGGCUGGGGUGUCCGUCCCGAGAGCGGAGGGCGGUGCGAGGAGCGGGUGGGGCUGCAGGUGACUCCGUGAGGACCUCGGAGUCGGCCGAGGCGUUGGCCGCAGGGAUCCUGACAGCCCGACCCCCGGACCUUGGACCCCAAAGCCAGAUACCGUUGCCCACCUAGAAUUCAGAAUAGAGCCACGGAUGAUGGACAGAGGGCUCUCCCAAGAUUCCUGCCUAGAGUAGAAAAAGAGACCUAAAAGCCAAGAGUCACCACCAACAGAGGCCUUUUCUGGUAAAGAGUUACUAAGCAGCAGAGUGAACCUGACAAGAUCCACAGUGGGUGAUUGCUGGCCUUCUACCCGAGCAGACAGUCGGGAGUCUAGGGAUGAGCCAGAGAAGCAGAAGAUGCAUGACGGCAGCUUGGGGUCAAUGGAACGUGAACAAGGGCAAGUAGUGACCCAGGAUGGGGACUGGGGAAAUGCUGAAGUUGUGGAAAAAUGCAGCUUCAAUUCAGACUUUCUUUCUGCACAGAAAUUUCUUGUCAAAGAAUAUUUCCAUCAAAUUGACUCAGUUCAAAGCUUCCAGCAUAAUUUUGUUUUAAAAAAUUGUCAGGAAAUCUUGGUAGUGAAGAAAGCUUAUAAAGGCAAUCCACUUGGAAAAGCCUUAGGAAAUCUGUAUAAAUUGAGCAUGGUAAAUAUACCAACCAGAGCAUAUACCUUUCUACACAUGAGAUUAUUAAUGUAGGAAAUAAACCCUAUGGCUUUAAA